rnacentral:rRNA from 1 species
UACGGAGGGUGCGAGCGUUGUUCGGAAUCAUUGGGCGUAAAGGGCGUGUAGGCGGGAUGGUAUGUCGGGUGUGAAAGCCCUCGGCUCAACCGAGGAACUGCAUCCGAAACUGCCAUUCUUGAGUACGGGAGAGGGAAGCGGAAUUUCCAGUGUAGAGGUGAAAUUCGUAGAUACUGGAAGGAACACCGGUGGCGAAGGCGGCUUCCUGGACCGAUACUGACGCUGAGACGCGAAAGCGUGGGGAGCAAACAGGAUUAGAUACCCCCGUA